CAACCUGAGAGUUUGAUCCUGGCUCAGAGCGAACGCUGGCGGCAGGCCUAAUACAUGCAAGUCGAACGCCCCUUCGGGGGAGUGGCGGACGGGUGAGUAACGCGUGGGAACGUGCCCUUUGGUUCGGAACAACACAGGGAAACUUGUGCUAAUACCGAAUGUGCCCUUCGGGGGAAAGAUUUAUCGCCAUUGGAGCGGCCCGCGUUGGAUUAGCUAGUUGGUGGGGUAAAGGCCCACCAAGGCUACGAUCCAUAGCUGGUCUGAGAGGAUGAUCAGCCACACUGGGACUGAGACACGGCCCAGACUCCUACGGGAGGCAGCAGUAGGGAAUCUUGCGCAAUGGGCGAAAGCCUGACGCAGCCAUGCCGCGUGAAUGAUGAAGGUCUUAGGAUUGUAAAAUUCUUUCACCGGGGAAGAUAAUGACGGUACCCGGAGAAGAAGCCCCGGCUAACUUCGUGCCAGCAGCCGCGGUAAUACGAAGGGGGCUAGCGUUGCUCGGAAUUACUGGGCGUAAAGGGCGCGUAGGCGGACAGUUUAGUC
rnacentral:rRNA from 1 species